AAGUCGUAACAAGGUUUCCGUAGGUGAACCUGCGGAAGGAUCAUUAAUGGGUUAGGGUCUCCGGGCCCGACCUCCAACCCUUUGUUGUCACAAAACCAAUUGUUGCUUUGGCGUGGACCGCCCGCGAGGGCUGCCGGUCUUAGGCCCGGCAUGCGCCCGCCAGAGGAAAACCAAACUCUUGUUUUAAACCAGUCGUCUGAGUAUAAAAUUUUAAUUAAAUUAAAA
rnacentral:misc_RNA from 1 species